rnacentral:rRNA from 1 species
AGUGAACGCUGGCGGUAGGCCUAACACAUGCAAGUCGAACGGCAGCACAGUAAGAGCUUGCUCUUACGGGUGGCGAGUGGCGGACGGGUGAGGAAUACAUCGGAAUCUACUUUUUCGUGGGGGAUAACGUAGGGAAACUUACGCUAAUACCGCAUACGACCUACGGGUGAAAGCAGGGGAUCUUCGGACCUUGCGCGAUUGAAUGAGCCGAUGUCGGAUUAGCUAGUUGGCGGGGUAAAGGCCCACCAAGGCGACGAUCCGUAGCUGGUCUGAGAGGAUGAUCAGCCACACUGGAACUGAGAAACGGUCCAGACCCCUACGGGAGGCAGCAGUGGGGAAUAUGGGAAAAGGGGCGAAAGCCUGACCCAGCCAUCCCGGGGGGGUGAAGAAGGCCUUCGGGUUGUAAAGCCCUUUUGUUGGGAAAAAAAAGCAGCAGGUUAAACCCCCGCUGUUCUGACGGUACCAAAAAAAAAAGCACCGGCUAAUUUCGG